CCAGACUCCUACGGGAGGCAGCAGUGGGGGAUAUUGCACAAUGGGGGGAACCCUGAUGCAGCGACGCCGCGUGGGUGAAGAAGCGCCUCGGCGCGUAAAGCCCUGUCAGCAGGGAAGAAAAUGACGGUACCUGAAGAAGAAGCCCCGGCUAACUACGUGCCAGCAGCCGCGGUAAUACGUAGGGGGCGAGCGUUAUCCGGAUUUACUGGGUGUAAAGGGAGCGUAGACGGCUGGUCAAGUCUGAAGUGAAAGCCCGGGGCUUAACCCCGGAACGGCUUUGGAAACUGAGCAGCUAGAGUGCUGGAGAGGUAAGCGGAAUUCCUAGUGUAGCGGUGAAAUGCGUAGAUAUUAGGAGGAACACCAGUGGCGAAGGCGGCUUACUGGACAGUAACUGACGUUGAGGCUCGAAAGCGUGGGGAGCAAACAGGAUUAGAUACCCCAGUAUU
rnacentral:rRNA from 1 species